UCCUUGGUGGUCCAGUGGUUAGGACACCACACUUUCACUGCCGAGGGCCCAGGCUCUAUCCCUGGUUGGGGAA
rfam:Ovis aries breed Texel chromosome 14, whole genome shotgun sequence.